AUUACUUUUAGAGUCAAAUAAGCCCAUGUUAAAUUGAUCAAUUUAAAUCCCUGACAAUUAUUGUUAGAGUGAAAUAAACUUUCGUCAAUUUAGUUGAUCCAUUUAAGCCCUUGACAAUUACAGUUAGAGUUAAAACAUUGAAAAUUUUGGUAAAAAAGGCCUGAACUCUAUCACGUGACUUAUAUGUGAGAUGGAUGGACGUUUAUUUCAUGCCCAUUUUUGUUACAUAACCUAAGAGCUAAACUCUCUAGUACUCACUCACUCUCUCUGUCUGCAACUUAAUUCCAUCAAUGGAAGAUAAAUAAUUGAAAAUAUGGUGUUGUGCACUGUUAUUGCCAUUUAACAUACCCAUUAUUGAAUUCAAUGCUUUUCAUCAUGCCCCAUGCAUAAUACGAAAGAGGAGUUUCAGGCGUUGCAUGACCCAAUGGCACCAGGCAUGCUGAACUCACGUUUAACAGAGCACACGCAAUGUCAAGGGGGGGCUUGUAAAAGCGAAUUCUCGAUUCAUAGGGGUUUAAAUGGAUCAAGUAAAUUGACAAAAGUUUAUUUGACUUUAAAUUAAUAAGAACUUAUUUGACUCUACCAGUAAUUACGAGGGGGCUUAAAAAGAUCAAUUAAAUUGACAAGAAUUUAUUUGAUUUUAAGAGUCAUUGUCAAAGGCUUAAAAAGGCUUUUUGCCUUAAAUAUAUCCUUGAAUCUUCCAACAACAGCCACUCAUUGGGGACUUAAGCUUAACCAUAGUCAUGGAUCAAACUUUCAACCACACACUUCCAUCCUUUAUUUUGCUAGGCGCACCUCAGGCACAAGGCGCACCCCUUGGCACCCAAGGCUCGAGGUGCACCCCAAGGCAUAGUAGAAAAUAAGUGGCUAGGGUUUCUUUUAAAA
rnacentral:misc_RNA from 1 species